UACGGGGGGGUGCGAGCGUUGUCCGGAAUCACUGGGCGUAAAGGGCGCGUAGGUGGUCUGAUAAGGGUGUGGUGAAAGCCCGGGGCUCAACCCCGGGUCGGCCGUGCCGACUGUUAGACUAGAGUGCUGUAGGGGCAGGCGGAAUUCCGGGUGUAGCGGUGGAAUGCGUAGAGAUCCGGAGGAAGACCGGUGGCGAAGGCGGCCUGCUGGGCAGAUACUGACACUGAGGCGCGACAGCGUGGGGAGCAAACAGG
rnacentral:rRNA from 1 species